CUUUGGUAUCUGCUGUGCUGCUGCUUCACUCUCUCUCUUUACAGAAAGUUGUCGAAGUUUUCAGACGUGUCACUGCUGGAUGUGAGGAUGGGAGCCACUUUGCUCUGUGAGCUGGGCCUAUUCUUGCUCUGUACGCUUCUCUGCACUGGACACGCUCAAGAUGCUGUGCUAACUAUUAAACCCAACUGGUCCAGUUUUUUCAUUGGAGAGUUUGUUACCUUCAAAUGUGACAUGAAUGAAGGAGAAGACACUGACUGGGAAUACAA